rnacentral:lncRNA from 1 species
UGGUGAGGGGAGGAGAGUGCCCACCACAGGGCCUGCAGCAUGUGCCACCUCAAGGGGAGUUGGUGGCUUAACCAUUUUAUUCCCUCAGGUGCCGUGUGAUGAGACCAGAUUGCAGUCAGGAGAGAGACCGGAGAGAGCUCUACAGUUGGUCAGACUCACGGGCUCCUGUGUUCUCUGCCCGCCACCCAGGGCCACUCGAGGAAGCACUGGGGUUGGCCACAAGGCAGAGGGAGAAAGUGACCUAUGGGCAAGCGCCUGGUGGCGGUUUCCACAAGAAGGAACAGGCAGCAGAGUCUCCGCUCAGCGUUACAGCAACUCCUCCUUGCCCUCAACCAUUCACGCCUGGGUGUGGAAUAAAGGACCCGAGAACUACUGUUACCGGACCAAAGGCAGAGCAUUUCAAUCUCUUAAGAGAAAGAGGAGCCAGAGACAGAAGAAUCCUGGGCCCCAGAGUCACCCAGGAACCUUAUUCCUGCUCACCAACCAGGAACAUUUGCAUUGGACUGUCACGUGAACAAAACAUAAACUAGACCUCUACAUUUGGACAUUUCCUCACGGUAGGUCAGUCUAAAGGAGGACUGGAAUCAUACCCACUGGAGUCAGACCGCAGCUGAAGCUGGUGCCAAGGACCUGGAAGGAGAAGAAAGCGCAAAGUGAGACAAACAGGCUGCAGCCAUGUUGUCACAAUACAGAACAUUUAUCACUCAAAGGGGGAGAUAUAUCAAGAGACCCUUAAAACAGCAACUUAAAAUGUUGAGAGAAAAAACUACUUAUCUCCUUCACUACACGUUUCCCUUAAAAUAUGUCCAUUGGGAUGGGGAGGCAUUUGGAAAUGACCAUGGCCUAAAAGUUGAGUGCUAAAAGAGAAAAUGCCACCCAAGGCCCAAACCUGCUGCUGACAACCUUAGUUUUCAGUUUCCCUUGGGCAAUCAAUGAUUGCCCU